rnacentral:rRNA from 1 species
UACAGAGGCCCCAAGCGUUACUGAGAAUCACUGGGUUUAAAGGGUGCGUAGGUGGCGCGUUAAGUCCGUUGUGAAAUCCCUUGGCUCAACCAAGGAAAUGCUUCGGAUACUGGCGUGCUUGAGGCUAGUAGGGGUCACUGGAACUGACGGUGGAGCGGUGAAAUGCGUAGAUAUCAUUUGGAACGCCAAUGGUGAAAACAGGUAGCUGGGGCUGUGCUGACGCUGAGACACGAAAGCCAGGGGAGCAAACGGG